GUGACGGUUAACGGGGGAUUAGGGUUCGAUUCCGGAGAGGGAGCCUGAGAAACGGCUACCACAUCUAAGGAAGGCAGCAGGCGCGCAAAUUACCCAAUUCUAACAGCAUAAGAGAGGUAGUGACAAGAAAUAACAAUACAAGGUAAUUAAAUUGCUUUGUAAUUGGAAUGAUAGAAAUUUAAACACUUUUUAAAGUAUCAAUUGGAGGGCAAGUCUGGUGCCAGCAGCCGCGGUAAUUCCAGCUCCAAUAGCGUAUAUUAAAAUUGUUGCAGUUAAAAAGCUCGUAGUUGAAUUUCUGUUAAAAAUAACCGGUCUGCUUUUAUUAAAAGUGGUAUCUUGGUGUGUUUUUAGCAAUAAUGUCCUUUGAAAUGUUUUUUACUUUAUUGUAAUAAGUCAUUAUUUUGAGGAUUUUUACUUUGAGAAAAUUAGAGUGUUUCUAGCAGGCUUACGCUUUUGAAUACUGCAGCAUGGAAUAAUAAGAUAGGAUUUUAGUUCUACAUUAUUGGUUUUAAGAACUAAAUUAAUGAUUGAUAGGGAUAGUUGGGGGCAU
rnacentral:rRNA from 1 species